AAGAAACUUAACAUUAGGGAAGACAGCAACUUUUCUUUUUUAAUACAGAGAGACAAUGAGAAUGAAGAGCUUCCCUCAGUGCAGUGGGGGCCAGGCUUGAACCUGGGUCACAGACAUGUCAAAGCAGCGCACUUACCUAAAUAAGCUACUUCACUGACCCAAAACAACAACUGGUAUUAAUGGAAUGGAGGAGGGGCAAACUAUAUUCCAGCAGUUAAGGCUCUGGGCUUUGGAGUCAGGUCUGGGUUGGAAUCAUCCUGUAUUCUAACUUUGGGCAUGUUAUGCGACCCUUGCAUGUCUUUUGUUUUACUGAAAUCAGUGAUUGUCUCACACUUUUAUUUCUUUUAGUGCUGUGGGGCUGAGCUGAAACCACUGUCCAAGGGAGUUAUUUUGUUGGCUUAACCUCAUAGAUGUAAGGGGACUUGAUAGAACACCUCAGGAAAUGAGAGAUCAUUUAUAUAUUUUUGGAUAUUUCAUUUCACUCCUUAGAGACAGACAGGAGCACUGCUUAGUUCUGGUGCGUAGGGUGCCAGGAAUUGGGUUUGGGAGCUCGGGCAUGGAAGUCUGGUUCCCUACCACUUUACACAUCCUCAGCCUCUAAACUUUCUCAGAACAGAAACAAAAAAACCAAAACCAGACAAAAAAGGACAGGAAUCUGAAAUUCUACUUAACAGAGUUGUGUUUGACUUGGUUCUUACACCUGCAGCUGAAAAAAAAAAAAGCGACUUCUGACAGUAUAAAACCCGCCUGCCUUUCUUUUUGAAGAUGAUUAAUCUUUGGUUGGGAAGAGGGGGUUGGGGCUUCCUGUUUUUAGUAGCUGAUUCUUAUGUUAACCAGAGUUGCCACCAAUCUUGAGUUGUAAAGGUGAAUAUUUAAAAUGUCUGCAGGGCUAUGGAGACAGUACAAUGGAUAUGUAAAAGACUUCUGCCUGGGGCUCUCUGGUUCAGUCCCCCAGGCCACUUUAAAUCUGAACUGAAAAGUGCUAUGAUUAAAAAUAGAUGUGGGGAGUUGGGCUGUAGUGCAGCGGGUUAAGCCCUCGGACCGGCCUAGGGAUCCCGGUUCAAGCCCCCAGCUCCCCACCUGCAGCGGAUUCACUUCACAGGUGGUGAAGCAGAUCUGCAGGUGUCUUAUCUUUCUCUCCUCCCUGUAUUCCCCUCCUCCCCAUUUCUCUCUGUCCUAUCCAACAACGACGACUACAACAAUAAAAACAAGGGCAACAAAAAGGAAAUAAUUUUUUUUUUAAAUAGGUGUGGUCUGCAGGUAGGAGAGUGAGCUUGUUGCUUUUCCCUGCCCUUCCCUGAUUUAGCACUAAGAGCCUGGAAUCUGAAAAGGGCCUUAGAAAAGAUUUUAUGGUUUUGAGAUGUUCUUAGGUCUGAGCCCUGGCACCACAGGGGAGGUGCUUUGGUGUUAGAGGAAGCUCAAGUGCUGUUUCUCCAGUACUCCCCCCACUCCCGCUCCCGUAGGAAGCAGCCUCUGACAUCCACAGGCAUUUUUAAACUGACUUGCAGCUGGUGUUUAUGAGUAAGAAGAAUUCUCAGGUAACUGGACCCAAAUUAGGGUGGGGAGGACAGCGUAAUGGUUAUACAAAAGGGUCCCAUGCCUGAGGCUCCCAGGUCUAGUCCCCCACGCCUAAAUAAACUUGUAUAAGCCAGAGCUGAGCUGUGGCCUAGUUUAAAAAAAAAAAAAAAACCAAAAACAUACCCGACUUUUUAAGUUAAGACCAACACCUUGAACAUGGUAACCUAGUGGUUUAGUCCUUAACUAGUCUAGUGGUUUCAAUUUGAUCAGAAUUACAUGUUUGUUACUCUCUGGCACUUGAGGUCCUUAAAGACCGUAUUCUGAGAAGUAAUUUCUCUCACAGGCACCUGAAAGCGGAAUUGUGUGGGCACCUUGCCCUGCGCACUGCCCCAGGUCUGAGCCCGGGCGGCAUGUGGGAGGAGCUCACAUGGGUGGUGUCUGAGGAGCCCUGGCCAGUGAAAUACGUGCGGGCAGCACCCCAGCUCUGAAGACAGAAUUUAUCUUUACAGGAUUUCUUUUGACUUUUCAGUGCAGUGAUGUCUGGAGCUCUUGUGAAUUUUCUGUUCUUUACUAAGUUGUGUGUCCCCCACCCCACUGUUGCAUAUUUCCUUUCUU